GCGGCUGGAAGAGCACCG
rnacentral:snRNA from 1 species